rnacentral:rRNA from 1 species
ACAGAGGGGGCAAGCGUUAUUCGGAAUUAUUGGGCGUAAAGGGCGCGUAGGCGGCUAAACAAGUGACGGGUGAAAGCCCUCGGCUUAACCGAGGAACUGCCUGUCAGACUGUUUGGCUUGAGACCGGGAGAGGUGAGUGGAAUUCCCAGUGUAGCGGUGAAAUGCGUAGAUAUUGGGAGGAACACCAGUGGCGAAGGCGGCUCACUGGACCGGAACUGACGCUGAUGCGCGAAAGCGUGGGGAGCAAACAGGA